UGAGGUUUUGGGUCCAGACCUUCAAUCCAGCCUCCAUGUUUGUUGGCGUCUUAUGAAGAUCCCACGCAAAUACUCAUGAACAUAAUCGACCCUCCAUCCUCACCGGUGUCCUCUCUGACAAAUUCAGAGGAAAGCACAGAGAACACUUUGGAAGACGCCAGCACAUCGGCCUCAAGCUCUGCCUCACCAGCUGGAAGAGGAAGCUGGAAGCUUCAGGCAUCAGGUCCACUUUCCCCCCGAUCCCCCCAAAAAAAGAAACUCUCCAUGC